rnacentral:misc_RNA from 1 species
GCAAUCACUAACCCAUAUGUUAUACACACUAAUGUAACAGCGCUAUACAUGUGGGAAAAUGAGGAUCAGCUGAAGAUAAGUGUGUUGAUUACAGAGAUUGACACCUGAUGCUCCCCAAAGCACAAGAAAAUUCAGCUUCUAAUCCUGGACAGUGGAUACCAUCACGCGUAGGGCUUACCUAUACAGUCACUGGGAAGCAUCAGAUUGUGAGUCCAUAUUGUUGUAGAUUUGAGUAUACCGCCGUCGAUUUUCAGGUUUCGGCAUAACGGGUUUCUUCCGCAAACCAAAGAUUUCUUGUACCAAAGGAACAUGAACCAGCACUAAUUUCCAAGCUAAAAACCAACCUAAGAUAAGUAAGGAGAAGACGAAGACGAUAGCCAGAAGGGGACGAAAAAGGAAUAAAGUGAGAAAUUCCAACGAUGAUACAGAGGCAUUCAACUCAUACGAUGAAGACGACUCCAUGAUUCAACUGAUGAUGGAAUUUUCUGGAAUAAUGGCUUGACUAAUUAUUUUUUGUAAUGAAUAUGG